AUUGAACGCUGGCGGUAGGCCUAACACAUGCAAGUCGAGCGGAUGAGGGAAGCUUGCUUCCCGAUUUAGCGGCGGACGGGGGAGUAAUGCCUAGGAAUCUGCCUAUUAGUGGGGGAUAACGUUCCGAAAGGAACGCUAAUACCGCAUACGUCCUACGGGAGAAAGUGGGGGAUCUUCGGACCUCACGCUAAUAGAUGAGCCUAGGUCGGAUUAGCUAGUUGGGGGGGUAACGGCUCACCAAGGCGACGAUCCGUAGCUGGUCUGAGAGGAUGAUCAGCCACACUGGAACUGAGACACGGUCCAGACUCCUACGGGAGGCAGCAGUGGGGAAUAUUGGACAAUGGGCGAAAGCCUGAUCCAGCCAUGCCGCGUGUGUGAAGAAGGUCUUCGGAUUGUAAAGCGCUUUAAGUUGGGAGGAAGGGUUGUAAGCUAAUAUCUUGCAGCUUUGACGUUACCAACAGAAUAAGCACCGGCUAACUCUGUGCCAGCCGCCGCCGUAAAAC
rnacentral:rRNA from 1 species